CUGUUUACUUCCUUGUCUACUUAAUGUUGCUUCUUACAGGAAGUAUGUAGCUUUAAAAGGUUGAAUCAUUAUUUAUGAGCAUCAGAAUAGCUGAAAGGUGUCACUGCAACAUUACCCAAUGCAACUGCAUUGAAAAUGGAUUUGUGUGAGAAAACACUAUUGGAGGCCAACAUUUUUAGUGCAUCCAUAGGAAGCGUCUCCACUACAGCCUUUCACCACACGAGAGACAGACUGAAGAUGUAGGCAGCUGACAAAUGUGAAAGCAAUGAAGAAGUGUUCUGAGGUUGACAGCACUUUUCAUAGUACACGCAUUUUCUGGGAAAGGCACGAGAAGGGAGAUAAACAGGCAAUGGUUUUGGCAAGCUGAGAAGAAGCUGUAGCAGACCAAGAUGUUCCAAAGAGAUCACAUCAAAAAGGUAAGGGUGCCAACACCCUGUACUUUUCUCCUUGUACGUUCUUCUCUG
rnacentral:lncRNA from 1 species